UAAAGGGGGACAUAUAGAAAUUUUUUUUUUUACUGUAUAUUGGGGGGACAGAUUGGUAUUUCCACAAUAUUGGGGGGACACAACCACCCCCAAAGUGCGUGGUUAAGCCCAGAACAUUCUAGAACUUUUUUAACGGUAUAUAAGCAUCAUUUUAAACUGACCCAUUCAAAAGCGAAAAAUCAUUUUGUUCAAAGGACGUGAUUUUUUUCUGUGUUUUUCCUCAUUUUCAUGGCGUAUUCCAACAAAAGCGAUGAGUGUUGGCAUAUUGCUAACACUCCACUGACCUUCAGAGUGACACACAUCGAGUUUAUCGACGAGUGAACUGACCAUUAAAUGUAGUAGUUACAGGCAGGCCCAAUGGUGGAAGGAGGAGAUAUGGUGUCUGUCUCUACAAUGUGAUUUUCUCAAGACUUUGGCUGCUUCGCCCCUCCUAGACCCAACUCGGAUACCAAAUGGUACGUGAACGGGAGUGGGUAUUUUGCGGACCUGGCGGAUGCGUUGGAGAACGCGAAGGAGGAGAUCUUCAUCACUGAUUGGUGGUCAGUACGCACUCAAUGCACACAGUGCCAGUUUAGAGUGGCGCAUGUUAAUAGACUCUAGUUUAGUUUUUGUGCUGUUAUUGUUGCCAUAGUUCAGUGCUGAUGUUUGUUACAGAACAGAUUCUACUUACUCCGUCAGACCUGGAAAAUUAAAUGUCAGUAUAAGUCACGUGGCAAGUGGCUUAUUAUUACUGUUGGAAAGUAGAUUUCCAUUGUAGACAUGCUGCUGAUAGCUUGGACCUCCUGUGUAUUUUGUGUGCACCUUCUAUUACAUUUAUGAAUCUAGAUCGUUCCAGUUAUAUUGAUUUAUCUUGGA